UACGGAGGGUGCAAGCGUUAUCCGGAUUCACUGGGUUUAAAGGGUGCGUAGGAGGGCAGGUAAGUCAGUGGUGAAAUCUUCGAGCUUAACUCGGAAACUGCCGUUGAUACUAUCUGUCUUGAAUCCCGUGGAGGUGAGCGGAAUAUGUCAUGUAGCGGUGAAAUGCUUAGAUAUGACAUAGAACACCGAUUGCGAAGGCAGCUCGCUACACGAAGAUUGACUCUGAGGCACGAAAGCGUGGGGAUCAAACAGG
rnacentral:rRNA from 1 species